GUCCGCGCACGGCGGCGAGAUCGCUGCGCAACGAUGCCAGCGAUUUCUCCACUGCGUCGAUACGCGCGAUGAUCGCAGGAUCGGCAACCGGACGCGGCGCAGGUUUUGCCGCAUCCGAUUCAACCUUCGCGAUCCGUGUGCCCAGAGCGGUGAUGUCGGCCGUGUUCGCUGCGAUCCCGUCCGUAAGCGGCGCGGUGGAGACGGGUGCGGGUU
rnacentral:misc_RNA from 1 species